rnacentral:rRNA from 1 species
GACGUAGGGCGCGAGCGUUGUCCGGAUUUAUUGGGCGUAAAGAGCUCGUAGGCGGUCUGUCGCGUCUGCUGUGAAAACCCGGGGCUCAACUCCGGGCUUGCAGUGGAUACGGGCAGACUAGAGUUCGGUAGGGGAGACUGGAAUUCCUGGUGUAGCGGUGAAAUGCGCAGAUAUCAGGAGGAACACCGGUGGCGAAGGCGGGUCUCUGGGCCGAUACUGACGCUGAGGAGCGAAAGCGUGGGGAGCGAACAGG